AAGACACAUUGAAGCACCUUGUUAGACACUGCUUCACCUGAAUUGAAUUAUUCCCUCUUAGUAGGAAAAAACAUAUAAGACUCAAAAAGCUAAAGAAACCUACAAGCUUCAGCAAACUUGGCAGCAUAAAUGACAGAGAAGGCUUCUUCCCAAGGUUACAGAAACUACUAAACCACUGCAGUAGAGAGGAGAUUCUACCUGUAUGUUGCACAAGAAGAUGCAGUGAUUCUGGUACCCAAGGAGUCACCUCUGCUCUUAAGGGGCUUCAGGAAAAUGCAGAUAUGAAAUAGAUUUAAUGCAUAUAUUAGUCAAUCAAUAUUCAAGGAAAAAAGGCAUCAAAAUGUAAUGCCCCACAGUAAUACCCAUUUCAUGGCUGAAAUUGACCCAACUGGCUGAAAGAAGCAGGGAACAGCAAGGUGCCCAGAAGAGGCUCAGAUCAAUUCAACAAUCUGUGAAGGAUCCUCUCCAAACUGCAGGGCUGCCAUUCUACAGCUUUAGAGCUUCCAUGAGCAGGCACUCUUGUUGGAGUGGGGAUUGAUGCUGUACCUGCCCUUCAUUAAUCUCUGUACAUGCAAGUAUUGCUUACCCACACUCCUGUAACUAACCCAAAUUAAACCCAUUGUUUUUCAUCAUA